rnacentral:ncRNA from 1 species
AGGUCGUCGGCCUUCGCGUGGGUCUGAGUGAUGCGCACCGUCGGAAGGUUGCGAAGUACUCUGUGCCGGAGGUCCUGGAGCAGGUGCGGGGGAGCCGUCAAACGAAUCCCCUUGUAUCCAGUGUAACCAUCUCCUACAGAGGCGUGUGGGCGUCUGAGAGUGCCAGGGUCCUUGCUGACCUCGGUCUCGGACGUGAAGAUUUUAAGAUUUUAACAGUAAAGUGUCUCCAGGGUGGCCUGGUGUGUUUUCGUGUGCAUCAGCAGAUGACGACUGUGGCAUACCCACGGGUGAUGGCGCGUUUGACGCCCUAACAGUGCCUCUGCAACUAACCCCCCCCACUUUCCAUCUCAGUGGGGGUUUUUGGAGGUCGCUCUUCCUCGAUUAAGAGUUAUAAUACGAUUUUCUUCCUUUUGUCGGGGGCGGGGGGGUUCUCUCGCUUGCCUGGAGAGGGCGUAACUCGGCUCCCCUAAUCCCACUAACACUUUGGGCUUGGGUGGGUCACGUUUGGGUCCCUAGUUGGGCGGUUAAAUCUCCCGAACUGGGGACUGGAGCGGCCGGUUGCGUUCCCCAAUGGGUUCCAGCCAUAGUGCCCUUCAGUUGCCCGACGAUAAGGGAGUAAAUGGGGAAAAAAAAAAAAUAGCCAAAUGCCUCGUCAUCUAAUUAGUGACGCGCAUGAAUGGAUUAACGAGAUUCCCACUGUCCCUAUUACAAUGGAGCGAAAGCCCCCGCGGUUGUUGCCGGGUGGGAAAAACUCAGCGGGGAAAGAA